CCUACGGGAGGCAGCAGUGAGGAAUAUUGGUCAAUGGACGAGAGCCUGAACCAGCCAAGUAGCGUGAAGGAUGACUGCCCUACGGGUUGUAAACUUCUUUUAUAAGGGAAUAAAGUGAGGCACGUGUGCCUUUUUGUAUGUACUUUAUGAAUAAGGAUCGGCUAACUCCGUGCCAGCAGCCGCGGUAAUACGGAGGAUCCGAGCGUUAUCCGGAUUUGUUGGGUUUAAAGGGAGCGUAGAUGGGUUGUUAAGUCAGUUGUGAAAGUUUGCGGCUCAACCGUAAAAUUGCAAUUGAUACUGGCAGCCUUGAGUACAGUAGAGGUAGGCGGAAUUCGUGGUGUAGCGGUGAAAUGCUUAGAUAUCACGAAGAACUCCGAUUGCGAAGGCAGCUUACUAAACUGCAACUGACACUGAUGCUCGAAAGUGUGGGUAUCAAACAGGAUUAGAGACCCUUGUAGUC
rnacentral:rRNA from 1 species